UACAGAGGUGGCAAGCGUUGUUCGGAAUUACUGGGCGUAAAGGGCGCGUAGGCGGUCUUGUAAGUCCCGUGUGAAAUCCCUCGGCUCAACUGAGGAACUGCACGGGAAACUGCUUGGCUUGAGUUCGGGAGAGGGAAGCGGAAUUCCUGGUGUAGCGGUGAAAUGCGCAGAUAUCAGGAGGAACACCGAUGGCGAAGGCAGGUCUCUGGGCAUUAACUGACGCUGAGGAGCGAAGGCAUGGGGAGCGAACAGG
rnacentral:rRNA from 1 species